GGAUGUGUUAAUUUCUUCCCCCUGCAGUCGUUCACAGGUGGGCCCGGUCAGGAUGUUUCCCGUGAGCCGAACAAAGACGUCUGACUUCCCCUGUGAUUUUUGCUGGCCAUUAUUCAACCCAGGAUCCUUUACCUAACAGCACUCCUGCUGGGCUUUUAUCCGACUGAAUUCAAUCUGUGCUCAUUGUAAACUGAUUGUGUGGAAAUCCUCAAGUCCACCCCAAACCAGUCUGGAGUCACCCAGGUGGUUACCACUUUACCCCGACCUCCUUGAAGGAUCAAAGCUGAGUCAAGCUGUGCAGAGAUGCCAGGAGGAGCCAGAGGCACCCGCUCCUGGGUCUCCAGCUCUUGGAUUCAGACCAGGACUUACACCUGACGCCCGCCUGGUUCUCAGGCCUUUGGACUUGGACUGAAUUACACCAUCGGCUUUCCUGGGUCUCCAGCUUGCAGACAGCAGACUGUGGGUCUUCUCAGCCUCCAUAACCCCGUGAGCUGAGUCCUAUA